UACGUAGGGGGCGAGCGUUGUCCGGAAUCAUUGGGCGUAAAGCGCGUGUAGGCGGCUUGGUAAGUCCGGUGUGAAACCUUGGGGCUCAACCCCAAGCCUGCACUGGAUACUGCUUCGCUUGAGUCCGGGAGGGGAGAGCGGAAUUCCUAGUGUAGCGGUGAAAUGCGCAGAUAUUAGGAAGAACACCGGUGGCGAAGGCGGCUCUCUGGAACGGUACUGACGCUGAGACGCGAAAGCGUGGGGAGCGAACAG
rnacentral:rRNA from 1 species